UUAAGGAAAUAGACCCUAAACGAUGGUCGAAAGCAAGACAACGAUGAAUCAGGUGAGAGCUACGAUGAUGCAUCAGCUGCGAGCGACGAUGAUGACGAAAGUGCGAGCGACGGCGGCGACAGCGGCGACGGCGAUGAAUCAGGUGCCAGUGACGACUCUAGUGAAGCCAACCACGACUCUUUUUGGUGGGAGAGGGUUCUCAACAAGCUCGUCUGGUUUUUCUGUUGAUUCUGGAGGCUGAUUUAAAGUUUUCAAAAGAGCUACAUCCCGUUUCCUUGUGGAUCGCUUGACGAGGAGGUGCGAGAACAACCCGGUGAUAGGAAGCAGAUGUAAACUGAUUCGGUCUGUACAAAUAAAAUAAAAUUAAAAAAAAGUAUCCAAGGUUAAGCAAGAAUUAUUCUUUUAUUCCUGA